rnacentral:rRNA from 1 species
UACAGAGGAGCCAAGCGUUGUCCGGAUUGACUGGGCGUAAAGCGCACGCAGGCGGAUGCGCGCGUGGGGUGUGAAAUCUGGCCGCUUAACGGCCAGGCGCCAUCCCAUACGGCGCGUCUGGAGUGAUGCAGAGGUCGAUGGAAUUGCCGGUGUAGUGGUGAAAUGCGUAGAGAUCGGCAGGAACACCCAGGGGGAAACCAGUCGACUGGGCAUCUACUGACGCUGAGGUGCAAGAGCGUGGGGAGCGAACCGG